rnacentral:rRNA from 1 species
GGGCCCGCACAAGCGGUGGAGCAUGUGGUUUAAUUCGAUGCAACGCGAAGAACCUUACCUACCCUUGACAUACAGUGAAUUUUGCAGAGAUGUGGAAGUGCCUUCGGGAACACUGCUACAGGUGUUGCAUGGCUGUCGUCAGCUCGUGUCGUGAGAUGUUGGUUAAGUCCCGUAACGAGCGCAACCCUUAUCCUUAGUUACCAGCACGUAGAGGUGGGACUCUAAGGAGACUGCCGGUGACAAACCGGAGGAAGGCGGGAUGACGUCAAGUCAUCAUGGCCCUUACGGGUAGGGCUACACACGUGCUACAAUGGCCAGUACAGAGGGCAGCGAAGGGGCGACCUGGAGCA